CCUGGCUCAGGACGAACGCUGGCGGCGCGCCUAACACAUGCAAGUCGAACGGAGUUAUCUCAGCUGAAGCUUUCGGGUGGAUGCAGGGAUAACUUAGUGGCGAACGGGUGAGUAACACGUGAGGAACCUGCCCUGGGGUGGGGGACAACAGUUGGAAACGACUGCUAAUACCGCAUAAGCCCACAGUACCGCAUGGUACAGAGGGAAAAGGAGCAAUUCGCUUCAGGAUGGCCUCGCGUCCAAUUAGGUAGAUGGUGAGGUAACGGCCCACCAUGCCGACGAUUGGUAGCCGGACUGAGAGGUUGAACGGCCACAUUGGGACUGAGACACGGCCCAGACUCCUACGGGAGGCAGCAGUGGGGAAUAUUGCACAAUGGGGGAAACCCUGAUGCAGCGACGCCGCGUGGAGGAAGAAGGUUUUCGGAUUGUAAACUCCUGUCUUCGGGGACGAUAAUGACGGUACCCGAGGAGGAAGCCACGGCUAACUACGUGCCAGCAGCCGCGGUAAAACGUAGGUGGCAAGCGUUGUCCGGAAUUACUGGGUGUAAAGGGAGCGCAGGCGGGUCGGCAAGUUGGAGGUGAAAGCUGUGGGCUCAACUCACAAACGCCUUCAAAACUGCCGGUCUUGAGUGGUGUAGAGGUAGGCGGAAUUCCCGGUGUAGCGGUGGAAUGCGUAGAUAUCGGGAGGAACACCAGUGGCGAAGGCGGCCUACUGGGCACCAACUGACGCUGAGGCUCGAAAGCAUGGGUAGCAAACAGGAUUAGAUACCCUGGUAGUCCAUGCCGUAAACGAUGAUUACUAGGUGUGGGAGGAUUGACCCCUUCCGUGCCGCAGUUAACACAAUAAGUAAUCCACCUGGGGAGUACGACCGCAAGGUUGAAACUCAAAGGAAUUGACGGGGGCCCGCACAAGCAGUGGAGUAUGUGGUUUAAUUCGAAGCAACGCGAAAAACCUUACCAGGUCUUGACAUCCGACGCAUAGCUCAGAGAUGAGUGAAGUCCUUCGGGACGUCGAGACAGGUGGUGCAUGGUUGUCGUCAGCUCGUGUCGUGAGAUGUUGGGUUAAGUCCCGCAACGAGCGCAACCCUUAUCGUCAGUUACUACGCAAGAGGACUCUGGCGAGACUGCCGUUGACAAAACGGAGGAAGGUGGGGAUGACGUCAAAUCAUCAUGCCCUUUAUGACCUGGGCUACACACGUACUACAAUGGCGCUUAACAAAGAGAAGCGAAACCGCGAGGUGGAGCAAACCUCACAAACAGCGUCUCAGUUCAGAUUGCAGGCUGCAACUCGCCUGCAUGAAGUCGGAAUUGCUAGUAAUCGCGGAUCAGCAUGCCGCGGUGAAUACGUUCCUGGGCCUUGUACACACCGCC
rnacentral:rRNA from 1 species